rnacentral:rRNA from 1 species
UGGCGAACGGGUGAGUAACACGUGGGCAACCUGCCCUCAGCUCUGGGAUAACUCCAAGAAAUUGGGGCUAAUACCGGAUAUGACUGCUGACCGCAUGGUCUGGUGGUGGAAAGAUUUAUCGGCUGGGGAUGGGCCCGCGGCCUAUCAGCUUGUUGGUGGGGUAGUGGCCUACCAAGGCGACGACGGGUAGCCGGACUGAGAGGUUGGUCGGCCACAUCGGGACUGAGAUACGGCCCAG